rnacentral:rRNA from 1 species
AUGGCGACCGGCGUACGGGUGAGUAACGCGUAUCCAACCUGCCCUUUACUAUGGGACAGCCCGUCGAAGGCGGAUUAAUACCGUAUGUUGUCAUGUUGAUGCAUAUUUUCAUGACCAAAGGCUUCGGCCGGUAAAGGAUGGGGAUGCGUCUGAUUAGCUUGCCGGCGGGGUAACGGCCCACCGGGGCGACGAUCAGUAGGGGUUCUGAGAGGAAGGUCCCCCACAUUGGAACUGAGACACGGUCCAAACUCCUACGGAAGGCAGCAG